GAUGAACGCUAGCUACAGGCUUAACACAUGCAAGUCGAGGGGCAGCAUGAACUUAGCUUGCUAAGUUUGAUGGCGACCGGCGCACGGGUGAGUAACACGUAUCCAACCUUCCGUUUACUCAGGGAUAGCCUUUCGAAAGAAAGAUUAAUACCCGAUGGCAUAAUUCUUCCGCAUGGUAGAACUAUUAAAGAAUUUCGGUUGUCGAUGGGGAUGCGUUCCAUUAGGCAGUUGGCGGGGUAACGGCCCACCAAACCAACGAUGGAUAGGGGUUCUGAGAGGAAGGUCCCCCACAUUGGAACUGAGACACGGUCCAAAACUCCUACGGGAGGCAGCAGUGAGGAAUAUUGGGUCAAAUGGACGAGAGUCUGAACCAGCCAAGUAGCGUGAAGGAUGACUGCCCUAUGGGUUGUAAACUCUUUUAUACGGGAAUAAAGUUAGCCACGUGUGGCUUUUUGUAUGUACCGUAUGAAUAAGGAUCGGCUAAACUCCGUG
rnacentral:rRNA from 1 species